UAUAAAUGUCAGCUCGGGUUGAAUGAUGUGUUAACGAAAGCGUAGCAAGAUUUAUCCUUCUUCAAAGCCUUCAUCGUCAUUCACGAACAUGAAACAUUUUCAUUCUUUGAUGUCUUUCGUCCAACUAUGGCCAUGCUUAGAAUGAAUGCCGCUGACCUAUUCGCUCUUUGUUUGGGACUGCAGGAGACAUGCUCUGAGGGGAUUUGAUCUCCAUGUGAAAGCAUUUUUAUCUAAGUUGGUCGAGUUGACUGAGUGCACCACCAAGUUUGCAAAACAAUAUCAGAUUCCAGCUGUCAUCUGGCAGGAUUGUGACACAAAGGGACCAAUGUCAUAUUACGAGCUAGAUUGACUACAUUUGCAUAAUAUACAACCAGACGGCAACACAGGAAUAUGACUCAGAAAGUUUUUUGCGUAAAUCCAUUGUUUUCGACUCCUUUUAUUCCAAUGCCAAAAUGAAGGGAAAAAAAAAGAGGAAAAGAACAGCCUGUUCCAAGAAAAUCUUCAAUUAUUUGAUGGAAAAGUGGCUCACCCGUCAUGGCACUGAGGCCCACCGCGAACGAAUUUUUGUACUUUAGAGUGCAAACAACAACAAACAAAAAAAAAAAAUAGAUGGAUAAUGUAAUUUUUGUCUGUGGGUGGCGGUUUCGAUUGAGCAACAAAA